rnacentral:rRNA from 1 species
GCGUCAUUUCAACCCUCAAGCACAGCUUGGUCUUGGGCCCUGCCGGCAACGGCUGGCCUUAAAAACAGUGGCGGCGCCAUCGAGCUCUACGCGUAGUAAUUAUACCCUCGCGUGUGAGUCCCGGUGGAUGCUGGCCAGCAGCCCCCAAUUUUCUAUGGUUGACCUCGAAUCAGGUAGGGAUACCCGCUGAACUUAAGCAUAUCAAUAAGCGGAGGAAAAGAAACCAACAGGGAUUACCUCAGUAACGGCGAGUGAAGCGGUAACAGCUCAAAUUUGAAAUCUGGCUCUUUCAGGGUCCGAGUUGUAAUUUGUAGAAGAUGCUUCGGGUGUGGCUCCGGUCUAAGUUCCUUGGAACAGGACGUCAUAGAGGGUGAGAAUCCCGUAUGUGACUGGCUGCCUCCGCCCAUGUGAAGCUCUUUCGACGAGUCGAGUUGUUUGGGAAUGCAGCUCAAAAUGGGUGGUAAAUUUCAUCUAAAGCUAAAUAUUGGCCAGAGACCGAUAGCGCACAAGUAGAGUGAUCGAAAGAUGAAAAGCACUUUGGAAAGAGGGUUAAACAGUACGUGAAAUUGUUGAAAGGGAAGCGCUUGCAAUCAGACUUGCACGCUGUUGAUCAUCGGAGGUUCUCCCCCGUGCACUCGGCAGCGUUCAGGCCAGCAUCGGUUUGGGUGGUUAGAUAAAGGCCUUGGGAAUGUAGCUUCCUUCGGGGAGUGUUAUAGCCCUCGGUGCAAUG